rnacentral:rRNA from 1 species
ACACGGUGGAUGCCCUGGCAGUCAGAGGCGAUGAAGGACGUGCUAAUCUGCGAUAAGCGCCGGUAAGGUGAUAUGAACCGUUAUAACCGGCGAUUUCCGAAUGGGGAAACCCAGUGUGAUUCGUCACACUAUCAUUAACUGAAUCCAUAGGUUAAUGAGGCGAACCGGGGGAACUGAAACAUCUAAGUACCCCGAGGAAAAGAAAUCAACCGAGAUUCCCCCAGUAGCGGCGAGCGAACGGGGAGGAGCCCAGAGCCUGAAUCAGCAUGUGUGUUAGUGGAAGCGUCUGGAAAGGCGCGCGAUACAGGGUGACAGCCCCGUACACAAAAGCGCAUGUGCUGUGAGCUCGAUGAGUAGGGCGGGACACGUGGUAUCCUGUCUGAAUAUGGGGGGACCAUCCUCCAAGGCUAAAUACUCCUGACUGACCGAUAGUGAACCAGUACCGUGAGGGAAAGGCGAAAAGAACCCCGGCGAGGGGAGUGAAAAAGAACCUGAAACCGU